rnacentral:rRNA from 1 species
GUGGGGAAUCUUGCGCAAUGGGCGAAAGCCUGACGCAGCCAUGCCGCGUGAAUGAUGAAGGUCUUAGGAUUGUAAAAUUCUUUCACCGGGGACGAUAAUGACGGUACCCGGAGAAGAAGCUCCGGCUAACUUCGUGCCAGCAGCCGCGGUAAUACGAAGGGGGCUAGCGUUGCUCGGAAUUACUGGGCGUAAAGGGCGCGUAGGCGGACAGCUUAGUCAGAGGUGAAAGCCCAGGGCUCAACCUUGGAAUUGCCUUUGAUACUGGCUGUCUUGAGUACUGGAGAGGGAAGCGGAAUUCCGGGUGUAGAGGUGAAAUUCGUAGAUAUCCGGAGGAACACCAGUGGCGAAGGCGGCUUCCUGGACAGUAACUGACGCUGAGACGCGAAAGCGUGGGGAGCAAACAGGAUUAGAAACCCCGGUAGUCC